AUUGAACGCUGGCGGCAUGCCUUACACAUGCAAGUCGAACGGCAGCACGGGGGCGAACCCUCGGUGGCGAGUGGCGAACGGGUGAGUAAUACAUCGGAACGUGCCCCGUACGCGGGGGACGAACCAGUCGAAAGACUGGCUAAUACCGCAUACGCUCCACGGAGGAAAGCAGGGGAUCGCAAGACCUUGCACUAUGGGAGCGGCCGAUGCCCGAUUAGCUAGUUGGUGAGGUAAAGGCUCACCAAGGCAACGAUCGGUAGCUGGUCUGAGAGGACGACCAGCCACACUGGGACUGAGACACGGCCCAGACUCCUACGGGAGGCAGCAGUGGGGAA
rnacentral:rRNA from 1 species